CCAAUCUGUGCCAAACCCAAGGCUAGAUCCUGGGAAAAGAAAAACAAGUGGGACACAUCCUUGCCCUCUGCAGCUCUCAGUCACGCUGGGGAGACCAACAGGAAGCCAACUAUGGUGUGCUUCAAAACAGAAUGAAAUUGGAGAGGGGGAUCCAAGCAAAGGGUCCCGGCAGACAGAUGAAGAAGGUGGUUGUGGAAAGCUUCAUGGAGAGAGACCCUUGCCUGGCCCUGAAGAACUGCUGUAUUUAAAUGGAUACGAAAGUCAGGGCAAUGAAUGGGGGCUCAGACCAGGAGUUGGAUGGACCCAUUAUCAAUUCACAAAAGUUCAACUACAUUCGACUACUUCAAGGAGAAAAAUUAUGUAAAGCAAUAAUCACGAUUAUCAAGAGAAAAAAAUUGUGAAUUGUGAGCAACCUGGGGACAAAAACUCAAACUUGUUUUAUCUUCAGUUCCUGACACAGCAACUCAUAGGCAUUAAGAACUCAGUGAAUAUUGAAUGGAAGAACAAACCAAGAAAUGAAUGAAGGAGUGAGUGAACGAGUGACUAUAUUAAGCAUUAGUUAAUAAGAGAUGAGGAAAAGGAAGCUGUCAUUGAGUGUCCACUGUGUGUCAAAUUCUGUGCUAAUUGUUUAAAUCUAUUCAUCAAUAAAAAGAAAUUUCCCAUUUGAUGAGCCAAUAUUUUCCUCUUCGUUGAUGUAUUAUCUUUUUCCUUUUAUGAGUCUGAUAUGGUUUGGCUCUGUGUGCCCAACCAAAUCUCAUCUUGUAGCUCCCAUAAUUCCCACAUGUUGUGGAGGGAUCUAGUGGGAGAUGAUCGAAUCAUGGGGGCAGGUCUUUUCCGUGUUGUUCUCGUGAUAGUGAAUGGGCCUUAUGAGAUCUGAUAGUUUUAAAAACAGAAGUUUCUCUGCACAAGCUCUCUCUCUCUUUGCCUGCUGCCAUCCAUGUAAGACAUGACUUGCUCUUUCUUGCCUUCUGCCAUGAUUGUGAGGCUUCCCAGCCACGUGGAACUGUAAGUCUAAUUAAACCUAUUUCUUUUGUAAAUUCCCCAGCCUCAGGUAUGUUUUUAUGAGCAGCAUGAGAACAGGUUAAUACAGAGGCAUUUACUGAAUUCCCUAAAUUUAAAAUGGAUGUCUUUUUUCCUUGCUAAAGUUUAUGAGUGACAAAUGAAAGCAAAAAACUUUGGAUGAACCACCCAUGUAAUUCAAAAUCUCACUGAAAUGACUUAGAAAUAGACAUUUUUGUUGCUUAUUUUGUUAUAGUGGAAGGCUAGGAUGGAGUAGGCAGUCAAAUUAUGGCUUAACAGGUUCAUGCCAAGUGGGAGGGGAAUACACAUUCUACAAAAUGGGGAGAAGGAAAAAUUUGUCUCCCUGUAUCCCACUUUCUUAAAAAGAGUCAGUAAAUCAAUCAACACAGACUUUCUGAGCUGGAACUACAAAGUCAUGUUUCUGGCAAUCUGUUCUGAACUCUUCUUUGUUCCUCAAAGCUAAAAUCCUUUAUACUCUCUAUUACUUUUUGUGGAUUGAUGUUUAAUUUAAAAAUAAUAAA
rnacentral:lncRNA from 10 species